UGACUGCAUUCCUGGGAAGCAGGGCACAGCUUUGUUAACUCAGUAGAGUUGCACCCAGUUGCUUCAGGAGUUAAUCUGGCAGCUUCACUGCAAGGAACUGAUUCAGAAGCUUCUUCAACUGGUAACUGUGCCUCCCCUCGCGUAUGUGCACAGCACCUCACCUGUGAUGGUCUAACCCAAGGGGAGGAGGGUGUUGUGUGCCACAGCUGUCCAUUUACUCCUGUGAGCAGCUGUACCAUUUAGCUCUGGAGUGAUGGUCCAACAGCUUGCCUGAGGAGUAAGAGCUGAGACUAUUGAUUGCAAGCCAUCAGGUUUCAGCAGUCCAAAGGGAUCACCCUCUGGAAAAGAAAGGCAGAAAGAAGGAAUAAACCCAUAUACAGGAUGAGGGCGCAAUUGCAACUGAACUGACAAAUUAUAUUAAGAUGAUUUUGCGUAAUGUAAAUAAAUAGUAAUAAAAAGAGGUCCUCAGACCUCUUCUAUGCAGCACUGCUAUGUAGCCAGCCAGAGGUUUAGCAGCACACCAGUGGCCCACGUGGCCUUGCAGAGAAGAGCAUGCUGGUGAGGACCACAGCAAGGGCUGGAUGAGACAGGUGGUCCCCUAAAAGGGUUCCAAAUGGAGCAGAAGUUCCAUGGUCCUCCCCAUGAGCCUAUGCCCACUUUAUGCUUCGGUCUAGACAGAGCAAGAGGCACCACCUAAACCAGAGCCAGAGUGGAGUGGGUAAGGGAGUUAGUAACAAGCCCACCAGCCCUGUUGAGGCUUCACCAG